GCUUGUUUCUUCUAUAAGUGGGGAAAAUAACAUCUGUUUUAUCAGCCUAGCAGUAUUGUUGUUAGGAUUAAAAUAUUAUAAGCACAUAUAUAUGUAUAUCUGUAUGUGUCUAUGCAUGCAUAUGUAUAAAGUUAUUGCAGGAUUUUAAUAAAUAUUAACCAUGAUUAUUGCUGUUAUUUGAUAGCCCUAUGACUCUGGCAUAUAAUCAGGGCUAAAAUGUUAGAAUAUAUUCAAUCCUCUAUGUCUUUGGCUUUGUAUUCUAGUCCUCAUAUUUAGGGUAAAAAUAGAUCUGUGUGGGGUAAAGUGAAGAGAGAAUGAAUGAGCAUUAACCUUGUUAAUGGCUGAUACAAAGAGAUUUCAGAUAUAAACAGAAAGUCAGUGAGGGCAGUAGUGGUAAUUAUACUCUGAAAUGGAGAACAGAUUUUCAUUUAUCUCUAAAUUUCUGUCAUUUUCAUUUGGGAGAUUCAUUGUAUAAACAACCCAAAGCCCCUAACUAUCUUACAAAAGAAAGACUGUAGAUGUUUCAAUGCAGUAACCUUGCCUAGCUGCUGUAGCAACUAUCCACAAGGCAGCAGGAUUGCAUUCUGUAGCCGCCAGUUGAUGCCAAUGAAUAAAACAUCUCUGAAAGGAAGAAAUAAAUCAUUUCUACUUGUAAGAAUAAGUAAAAACAGAGAUAAUUACUCUUUUGCCAGAAAAUCAAUAUUUUGUUCAAGGAUCCCUGCCUUCUCUACUUAAAUGUGUUUUGGUUUGAGGGAAUCAAACUUUUCCCAGUUUUGAGGGAUGCUUCUGAGGGGCAUAUCCUAUGGUGUGGAGACACGAUUAUCCAUUUACAAAGAGAGAAGAGAGGAAAAAAGCCACCAUGUGAAGAAGGACAUGUUUGUUUCCCCUGGGGCCUCUCCAUCCUUGCUGAACUAUGGUACGUCUCUCCUUCAUGUGCUGCCUGGGGUUGAGGAGAAGUGGCAUAGAGAUACAAGCCUCCUGGGUGAUGAGAAAGACAGAGAAGCAUUUUUCAUAGAGAGUUGCCAGGAUUGCUCAGCAUCCAGAUCAACCAUGAAAGGCACCAGGAGAAUGAACAUCUGCAUUUUUCUUGUCCAUGAUUCUUCUACAUAAUGCUACUGAAGCGAAGAUAAUCUUUAAUUGUAGAAACAAGAAGAGAAGCAAAUAUAUUACUAGUAUCCAGAAGCUCCUUCACAGUUUUCAGAUAAUGCUAAUGAGCUAGUUCCUGGUUUGUAUCACAAACUUCUCCCAAAUUCUUCCCCUAAACAUUCCUUCAUGGUGGAGCUAAUUAGACUAUUGCAGCUCCACCGUUCAUUACUGCUUGUAUUUUGUAAAAAUUAGUGCAUAUGUCAUGGGCCUAGGGAUACAUCCAUUGCAGGGAAAUGGGAGUAGGGCAUUCCCAGUUUUAGCUAUAAUUGAAAAUUAUUCUUAGGGACGAAAAUGCCAUUGAAUAAUUCUGCCUUUUCUCCUCCUUGUUCUCUCUCUCUCUCUCUCUCUGUCUCUCUCAUAUCUAUCUUCUUUCUUUCUUUCUUUCUUUCUUUCUUUCUUUCUUUCUUUCUUUCUUUCUCUCUCUCUCUCUCUCUCUCUUUACUAAGUCUGGAAACCCUUAGAGUUUCUCUUGAAUAUAUCAAGCUAAUUAUUUUUAUUUUUAUUCACUACCUUUCAUGCAUUUCCUACUUCCAAUAAUCCUUUUUUAUUAAGUCUCCCAAUCCAAGUCCACCCUCACUCAAAAGUGACCUUCCCAGAGUAGGGUGUACAAUGCGGAGUCCACAUAAGCAUCUCUAUACUUCUA
ensembl:lncRNA novel transcript